CAGUAGCCGCGGUAAUACGAAGGGGGCUAGCGUUGUUCGGAUUUACUGGGCGUAAAGGGCGCGUAGGCGGACUGAUAAGUCAGGGGUGAAAUCCCAAGGCUCAACCUUGGAGCUGCCUUUGAUACUGUCUGUCUUGAGUUCGAGAGAGGUAAGUGGAACUGCGAGUGUAGAGGUGAAAUUCGUAGAUAUUCGCAAGAACACCAGUGGCGAAGGCGGCUUACUGGCUCGAAACUGACGCUGAGGCGCGAAAGCGUGGGGAGCAAACAGGAUUAGAUACCCCUGUAGUCCCUGUCUCUUAUAC
rnacentral:rRNA from 1 species